GUCUACGGCCAUGCCACCCUGAACAAGCCCAAUCCCGUCUGAUCCCAGAAGCUAAGCAGGGACGGGCCUGGUUAGUACUUGGAUGGGAGACCACCUAGGAAGACCAGGUGCUGUAGGCG
rnacentral:rRNA from 1 species